CCUACGGGAGGCAGCAGUGAGGAAUAUUGGUCAAUGGGAGAGAUCCUGAACCAGCCAAGCCGCGUGAGGGAAGACGGCCCUAUGGGUUGUAAACCUCUUUUGUCGGAGAACAAAACCCGGGACGUGUCCCGUACUGCGUGUAUCCGACGAAAAAGCAUCGGCUAACUCCGUACCAGCAGCCGCGGUAAUACGGAGGAUGCGAGCGUUAUCCGGAUUUUAUUGGGUUAAAAUGGUGCGUACGCGGUCCGUUAAGUCAGCGGUAAAAUUGCGGGGCUCAACCCCGUCGAGCCGUGGAAACUGGCAGACUUGAGUUGGCGAGAGGUACGCAGAAUGCGCGGUGUAGCGGUGAAAUGCGUAGAGAUCGGGCGGAACUCCGAUUGCGAAGGCAGCGUACCGGCGCCAGACUGACGCUGAGGCACGAAAGCGUGGGGAUCGAACAGGAUUAGAUACCCCGGUAGUC
rnacentral:rRNA from 1 species